CCUUAUGGAUGAGCAAAAAAAGUGGUUUCUUGAGAUGGGAUCUAUCCCUGGUGAAAAUGCUGUGAA
rnacentral:pre_miRNA from 1 species